rnacentral:rRNA from 1 species
GAUGAACGCUGGCGGCGUGCUUAACACAUGCAAGUCGAACGGAAAGGCCCAAGCUUGCUUGGGUACUCGAGUGGCGAACGGGUGAGUAACACGUGGGUGAUCUGCCCUGCACUUCGGGAUAAGCCUGGGAAACUGGGUCUAAUACCGGAUAGGACGAUGGUUUGGAUGCCAUUGUGGAAAGUUUUUUCGGUGUGGGAUGAGCUCGCGGCCUAUCAGCUUGUUGGUGGGGUAAUGGCCUACCAAGGCGUCGACGGGUAGCCGGCCUGAGAGGGUGUACGGCCACAUUGGGACUGAGAUACGGCGCAGACUCCUACGGGGGGCAGCAGUGGGGAAUAUUGCACAAUGGGCGCAAGCCUGAUGCAGCGACGCCGCGUGGGGGAUGACGGCCUUCGGGUUGUAAACUCCUUUCGCUAGGGACGAAGCGUUUUUGUGACGGUACCUGGAGAAGAAGCACCGGCUAACUACGUG